rnacentral:rRNA from 1 species
GGGUUGUGAGGUUAAGCGACCAAGCGUACACGGUGGAUGCCCUGGCAGUCAGAGGCGAUGAAGGACGUGCUAAUCUGCGAAAAGCGCCGGUAAGGUGAUAUGAACCGUUAUAACCGGCGAUGUCCGAAUGGGGAAACCCAGUGUGAUUCGUCACACUAUCAUUAACUGAAUCCAUAGGUUAAUGAGGCGAACCGGGGGAACUGAAACAUCUAAGUACCCCGAGGAAAAGAAAUCAACCGAGAUUCCCCCAGUAGCGGCGAGCGAACGGGGAGGAGCCCAGAGCCUGAAUCAGCAUGUGUGUUAGUGGAAGCGUCUGGAAAGGCGCGCGAUACAGGGUGAGAGCCCCGUACACAAAAGCGCACGUGCUGUGAGCUCGAUGAGUAGGGCGGGACACGUGGUAUCCUGUCUGAAUAUGGGGGGACCAUCCUCCAAGGCUAAAUACUCCUGACUGACCGAUAGUGAACCAGUACCGUGAGGGAAAGGCGAAAAGAACCCCGGCGAGGGGAGUGAAACAGAACCUGAAACCGUGUACGUACAAGCAGUGGGAGCCCCACCACCAAAGCGUUUCGCUUUGCGUGGUGCGCAAAAUGCGUAACGACAGCACGAUUGCGGUUAACGGAGCGUAAGCGACGUUCAACACAAAAAUCAGGCAGUGGAGCGUUUUGGGGUGGGGUGACUGCGUACCUUUUGUAUAAUGGGUCAGCGACUUAUAUUCUGUAGCAAGGUUAACCGCAUAGGGGAGCCGGAGGGAAACCGAGUCUUAAUUGGGCGUUAAGUUGCAGGGUAUAGACCCGAAACCCGGUGAUCUAGCCAUGGGCAGGUUGAAGGUUGGGUAACACUAACUGGAGGACCGAACCGACUAAUGUUGAAAAAUUAGCGGAUGACCUGUGGCUGGGGGUGAAAGGCCAAUCAAACCGGGAGAUAGCUGGUUCUCCCCGAAAGCUAUUUAGGUAGCGCCUCGUGAAUUCAUCUCCGGGGGUAGAGCACUGUUUCGGCCAGGGGGCCAUCCCGGCUUACCAAUCCGAUGCAAACUGCGAAUACCGGAGAAUGUUAUCACGGGAGACACACGGCGGGUGCUAACGUCCGUCGUGAAGAGGGAAACAACCCAGACCGCCAGCUAAGGUCCCAAAGUCAUGGUUAAGUGGGAAACGAUGUGGGAAGGCCCAGACAGCCAGGAUGUUGGCUUAGAAGCAGCCAUCAUUUAAAGAAAGCGUAAUAGCUCACUGGUCGAGUCGGCCUGCGCGGAAGAUGUAACGGGGCUAAACCAUGCACCGAAGCUGCGGCAGCGACACUGAUGUGUUGUUGGGUAGGGGAGCGUUCUGUAAGCCGUUGAAGGUGGCCUGUGAGGGUUGCUGGAGGUAUCAGAAGUGCGAAUGCUGACAUAAGUAACGAUAAAGCGGGUGAAAAGCCCGCUCGCCGGAAGACCAAGGGUUCCUGUCCAACGUUAAUCGGGGCAGGGUGAGUCGACCCCUAAGGCGAGGCCGAAAGGCGUAGUCGAUGGGAAACGGGUUAAUAUUCCCGUACUUGGUGUUACUGCGAAGGGGGGACGGAGAAGGCUAUGUUGGCCGGGCGACGGUUGUCCCGGUUUAAGCGUGUAGGUGUGUGUUCCAGGUAAAUCCGGUUCACUUUAACAC